GGGGGCGUGGCUAAGCCAGGCUGGCCGAGAGCCUCCGGUGGGGUGGGGUGGGGUGGGGUGGGGUGGGGUGGGGUGGUGAGGCAGGGUAGAAAGGGCGAGCUCCCAUGGCCAGGUCGAGAAUGGGGGUUUCCGGGAGGAUUGGGGGGGGGGGUCGGGGCAUUAGAGUCAGGUUGCCUGGGUGGACUCUUAUCUAGCCACCUGAUGCUCCAAGUCACCUAAGUCUAUCAGUCUCUGAGACCUUUGUGCAGUCCUUGUGUGGUCGACUGUGACUUAGACCACGCCUCCAUCCCAUCCUUUUUUCCAACCAUCAGUUUGAGCUGUGACUGGAAGUUUAGGGCUGAAGGGAGUCCCUCUGAUGCCUGCAGAGUCUGAGUCUCACUCCUGAGAGAAGUCUGGUGGCCUAUAGCGAUGUCUGAGUACCACCAAGAACAGCUGACACACAUAAAGGAUGUGGGACUCAGCUACAUACUGCUUGUCCUCCAGUGGAGAUGGUUCAGCUAAUCAGGCCAGGCUAAGCAUGUGAAACACAUGAGCAGCAAGGGCCCCAGGAGCAAGACGGAGAAUAAACCAACCUUUCUCAGCAAUGGUGAGGACUUCGGCACUCCACACACAGUAACUAGAGAGUGAGAUACCAGAUCUUUAGGCAUCAUGAGUCUUUGCUGUGCCCAGGAAUGCCUUUGGCCAGCCUCCCUACUAUGCAGCUGGAGAAACUGAGGACACAGGCAAGGAUCCACAUUGACUGAGGUUCCCAAUAAGCUGCAUUCUCUUCUGCUGGGACCUUGUGCUAGGGACAAGUCUGUUGGUGGGACAAUUUGAACUGACUAUCCUAAGGUUCUCUGUCAUUGGGCAGCCCCAGGACUCCUGGCCCUCCAGGCUGCAAAUACAAAGUAGUUUGAUUGACAGGGCGAGUCUCACAGGUCCCAGCUACCCACUCCUCACAUCCUUUGGAGAAACUUUUGUCUAACUUCCUAGACCAGGUUCCGGGGAAGCCAGAGGCUGGGUCAGGGUCCUUCUGUAUGUGCCCUCCUCCCGUAAGUCACCUCCAUGGAGACACUUGGGUUCCACUGUGCCUGUGUAAUACCGCUCUCACAAAAGUGGACACUCCAAGCCCUGGCAUCUGCUGCCUCUGCUCCCCAGUCUCCUUGCCUUUUUCCUCAGCUCUGAUCCCUGCCCACUACCUGCCACUUUAAGCCAUGACAGAGCAGAGCACAGUCAUGUUCCCGCUUUCCCCAAAAGACUCUAGGACUCUACUGUCAAGAGUGGUUGGCAACAGAAGGAGAUAGCCCCCUGAA